AGCAUCUCAGUAGUUUUAGCUAUGAUUUUUGUUGUUACGAUUAUUCAGAAUGAGUAAAACCAACUUCCUGUGCUUGAUGGAGGGUGAGAAGUGAAAUCGUCCACGAGACAGACCAUGGAGGCAGCAGGAUGGGAGUGUGAGAACCGGGGAAGAUGGAGUCCUGGAGGAUGUGGGGGAAGCUGUAGCCGCUCGGCCAGGACAGACAGGCAUCGCAAGUGUGGAUGUGGAUGAGGGAAUGGCUUCACCGGGGCCCCACGUGUGGGACAUAGAGGUGGUCUUCUCCCCACAGGGGGCUGGGUGCUGCUGGGCAGGGUGAUGGGCAAGACACACAGGGUCACCUCAUACUCAUUUGGAGUCGGGUCAUAGAGGACCUCGGUGCCAGUCCGGACUUCUGACUCUUAUCGGCAAGCUCUGGGGAGCCAGUGGAGGUUUUUGAGAAGGGAAUUUGGUAGAUGCUUCUGGUAACAUUUUACAGGAAAGUAGUGGUGGUGGGAGAGGGCAGGGCAGAGGCAGAGCAGAGGCCACGGGGCACAGUGCUCUGUGUUUCCAUCCCUGAGCAAUUCAUCAGUCUUCAGGUGCUUGCUUACUGCUCAUCUUCCUCCCUGGACUGCACUCUGGUCAAGGGCAGGGGCCGCGUGCUUCCUCAGCACUGUCAUACCCCACUCAGCACCAUCCCUGGGGCUCCAUCAACGGUUAUUGAAUGGAAAUAGGAAGGGAAAUGAUGGGUCCAAAACCACGGUGUGGGGUAGGGGGGACAAUGAGGAGGAUUUGACAAAUGAUAGGAACUUAACAUAGGAAUCACCAGAUAACUCAGGGUGUGGGUACGCAGGAUGGAGGCAGGAAUGGAGAGGCUGUUCACCGACAAAGUAGACAUAAGCAGGAGAAUCCCACUCUACAGAGCAGAGGUGAGCUCCCUGGGGCGAGUGCCUCAUCGGAAAGGAGUCACCCACCCAUUCAGAGCUGAGAGUGGGGCAGGCAGUGGGGGUAGGGCUCGGUGGAGAGGGCAGGUGCAGGACAGUCAGAGCAGAGGGAAGAGAGAGUCUGCAAGGGAGAACAACCUGGAACCUGAACAGAGCAGUGGAGAGAGGCGGCUACCCUGGGGGGCACUCUGCAUUCUCAGAUCCAUGAUAUAAGAGUUCUCUCAGGGAAGCCACAGGAGACAGGCCCAAGGCACAGGGUCACAGCAUUCAAGGGGGAAGCUGUCACUGGUCCAUGCUGCGCAAACCUUCAGAGGCUCAGCAGGUGGAAAAUGGAAGACAGAGCUGAAGGAUCAGCCUCGUGCCUCUAAGCUCUGUUGUUCUAAUUACGCCUACGCUGUCACUGAGUCCUUCUUCUGGAGGAGGAUCCGGAUGCCAUGGCCUCCAUUACCAGAAACUUUCCACGGCUUUCCACUUCCUAGACAGUCAGGCCCAGAGUCUGUGGCAAAGCAUUUCAGUGACUCCACAUCUGGUCUUAAAAGCACCCCUUCUCCUACAUCCUUCCCCAUCCCAUCAGUCCGUGGCUCUCCCUCUCCUUGGUGCAUGCCAGGGACUCUCACGCCUUCAUGGUUGGUGUAGGCUGUUCCUUCAGCUUGGAAGGUCCUUUCCCCCACCCCCAUGGCUGCUAAUUACAACUCUUCUUAUCCUUCAAGGCCUCUGUCAAAUGCUACCUCUCCUGCAAAGCCUUUCAUGAUAUUUCCAGGAGGUAGGGUCCUUCCUCCCUUCCAGGACCCAUGGAGUGCUUUGUCUAGCAAUUACUCCAUUCUUUCUAGGAUUCCAUAGAGCUAGUAGCUUGUCUCUCCCCUCUGCUAGCUUAUGUAUGAGAGCAGAGGACAUGUUCUAUCUUUGAAUCACCCACAGCAUGAGCUCUCAUGCACAGAAGGCAGUCAACCAAUACCAGCAAAGCGUAUGAAGGGAGAAGUACUCCAGAGCAGGAGUGGCUGGGAGCUCUACCAUUUCCCACUAUUUGUUUGGAAAUUCUGGGGUGCCUCAUAGUUAUUUGGCCUUAGGGGUCGCUCUGUAAAUAAAUAUCUUGGCCCAGCAGUGCAUUGCCUUAUAAGCACAUGUGUUACCCAUGAUCUCUAGAGCCAUUUUGAUAGUGAGGAUACACUCUUAUACCUACAUGAAGAUUUUGCUGAGCAUUGCCUGGAGUUAAAGAAAAAUGGAAAAACUUAGCCUGGCCAUCAGAAGUGCUUUGUCAUUAUGUGCUAUCCCUGAUGGCAGUUUAGAGAAAGCCCUAGACUGUUCCACCAGGAUGAUAAACAUAUUUCAAGAGCCAUGAAUUAGGAGGAUAAAGUUUCCCAAACACUCAGUUUACAAACUCAAAAAGCAUCUGUUCAUUCAAUCAUCUAUCUUUUCCUUCUGCCCCUCCACAUGGGCUCUAAUGGUAUUUAGAUGUAAUGAAUAUCCUGAUUUAUUUCUCAACAGCUUGCUGUCUGUAAGGAAAAUAUAUAUUCAAGAAUACAUUCAGCAAGGUUCAGUGAGCACCUACUAUGUGCCAAGAGUGUGUCUGGGUUAACGAUGUACAGUACACGAGUCAGGGUAGUUCUUUCUGCAGUCUGUGUUUUAGGGGUUAGAUAUUUUCUGUUUUGUUAUAUAAAACUGAGAACAGUUUAGGACCGCUGUAGACAGUCCUGCCUUUUUUUUUUCCUACUUUGUUUUUAUUUUAGGAUAGACAUUUAUAAAACACAGCUGGCUAAAUGCUAAAUGCAGCUGUGAACAACAGAAUUUAAAUAUAUGUCUAAUCCAACAAACCUGGUUCUUGGCAAGAAUGGGAAAAAAAGUUAAUUGUUUUUUAAUUUAGUCUUGCACACACACACACACACACACACACACACAAAGAGUAGAAGGGUAAUAUAGCCAAAGGGUAAUAGUGAGUGAUUUUUUUUUCUUAAGUUCAUUUUACUUGGAUUCUGCACUAUAGAUUGGACAGGAGUUUUCCAAAACAUUCAACCUGUGAGAAAAGUCUUCCUCUAUUUUCAUAAUGAUAGAAACCACCCUUUUCUGAGCAUUUGUUCUAGGCUGGGCAGAUGGCUUACGAGAGCUUUGCCUGACUUGCCUCGCUGCAUCCUCUGGGGUGUAUGCCAUUUACGCAUGAAGAAACUAAGGCUCAGAACAAUGAACUCGCCUGCAGUCACACUGUCGGUGAGGGAUAGGACCGGAACGUACAGCCAGCUGCCUGACUUCAGGGCCCACAUUGUAGCCACAACUGGGAUUUUUCUUAACCCACCUGCAUUGCGACACAGUGGCACCAAAACAUACUUGAGAGACUCUUUCAGUGCAGUUUUUGGAACUGAGGAGUCAAAGAGCAGGCAGCCCUGAGCCCUGGUCAAUAGGAGUUCGUUCAGCCAGUCGGGGCCAAGCAGCCCCCAAGCCCCAACUCUGCCACUUGGACCAGCAGACGACACUGCCCCUAAGCUUUAGCUCCGUUCCCAGUGACCAGGACUAAGAGUGGUAGCCGCCUCACCCGUCUCUCAGAGGAUGCAGCGAGUUACAAGUAAAGUACCUGAGUAUAAGAAGACUUUAAAGUCGCCAAUUCAGCCUCUGCUUCCGUCCUACAGUAAGACAUGUUGAGAGCUCUUUUGAAGAGAUGUUCUUUAUCCUCGCUGAAACAGGGGCCUCCACACCCCACAUCUGACUGCCGUUCCGUCAGAAGAAGGAAAGGCCAGGAGGUGUCUGACAUCACUGCCUUGCCUUUGAUGCCCAUCAGCCAAAAGACGUUAUCUGUCUCUAAGCAUGAACAAUACAAUGAAGCUGAAUUUUCCAGGCAACCAGAGAGAGUUCUCUGAAGAGGCCACUGACCUAGAUGUUCGCCCUUGUCCUCAUACCUUGGACUCUGCCUCCCAGCUGAGUUGGACAUCCUGUCAGUCCAGGCCCAUCCUCCAUUAGCUGCCCACCCAGACAGUGGAACCUAGAGGUCAGGAAAUCAACUCUUAUCAUCAAACCCACCCGGAGAGACCCCCAGCUCAGCCAGUUGCUAUCUGGGAGACCUUUGACAAGUUACUUCAAUGCUCUGUGCCUCCUCACCUCACCUCAAAGAUGGCCAUCACAAUAGUAUAUACCUCAUGGGACUAUUAGAAGCUUUGAUAAAUAAUCAAACUUCAGAAAUGUGUGGCACAAGAAGAACUACAGAUGUCAUCCAGGUGACUGCGGUGCUGGCUCAAGCGUGAGAACCACUGCUUUCUAGUCCAGAGAAUCUUCCAGGGUAUUAGCUGGGAUGCAAAACCACGUUGCUAUCUGAUCUCGUCACGCUUCUGCCAAGAGGAAAU